UAUGCUGAGACAUUCUCCUCUUACACAGAUGGGACCUGCAAAGGAUAAACUGGUCAUUGGACGGAUCUUUCAUAUUGUGGAGAAUGAUCUGUACAUAGAUUUUGGUGGAAAGUUUCAUUGUGUAUGUAGAAGACCAGAAGUGGAUGGAGAGAGUCCCAUUUCGUGGUAUGCUGUUUGGAGGAGAUUUUCACAAGUGAUGAUAACCUGUUUUUCUUCCAACUCUGACUUUGGAAAACAUCGUAAAAGAUAAAGAAGUUGUAAUACAACAUGGAUGAACCCUGAAAACAUUAUGCCAAAUGAAAGAAGCCAUUCACAAAAGAUCAUAUAUUGUAUGAUUCCAUUUAUAUGAAAUGUUCAGAAUAGACAAAUCCACAGAGACAGAAAGUAGAUUAGUCAUCCCCAGAGUCUAGAAUAGGGGAGGGGGAGAGAUUGCUAAUGAGUACAGGGUUUCUUUUUUGGGGUGAUGAAAAUGUUCUAAAAUUAGGUUAUGGUAAAAGCUGUACAGCUCUGAGAAUAUAUUCAAAGUCACUGAAUUAUACACUUUGGGUAGAUUUUAUGAUAUGUGAAUUAUAUCUCAAUAAAGCUGUUAAAGUUUUAGUAUACC
rnacentral:lncRNA from 1 species